rnacentral:misc_RNA from 1 species
GUGAAUCAUCGAAUUUUUGAACGCAUAUUGCACUCUCUGGUAUUCCGGAGAGUAUGCCUGCUUGAGAGUCAUUAAAAACAAUCUUUAACCAAUUUUUUGUUCAAAUGAAAUUAGUUCUCCUCAUUUAUAUCAGUAGCUUGAAAUAAAUGGUCAAGUCUCAUUUUACUCGCGACUCGUAAUAAUAUUAUUUCUCGAAAUCUUCAUUAUGUGACUAUCAAGUUUUGAUCCAUACAAAUUUUGUUUGUAUGCGAUCAAUACAAAUAUUUUGAACAUUACCUCAAAUCCGG